rnacentral:rRNA from 1 species
CCUACGGGGGGCUGCAGUGGGGAAUAUUGCACAAUGGGCGCAAGCCUGAUGCAGCAACGCCGCGUGAGGGACGACGGCCUUCGGGUUGUAAACCUCUUUUAGUAGGGAAGAAGCGAAAGUGACGGUACCUGCAGAAAAAGCACCGGCUAACUACGUGCCAGCAGCCGCGGUAAUACGUAGGGUGCAAGCGUUGUCCGGAAUUAUUGGGCGUAAAGAGCUCGUAGGCGGUUUGUCGCGUCUGCUGUGAAAUCUGGGGGCUCAACCCCCAGCCUGCAGUGGGUACGGGCAGACUAGAGUGCGGUAGGGGAGAUUGGAAUUCCUGGUGUAGCGGUGGAAUGCGCAGAUAUCAGGAGGAACACCGAUGGCGAAGGCAGAUCUCUGGGCCGUAACUGACGCUGAGGAGCGAAAGCAUGGGGAGCGAACAGGAUUAGA